GACAGAGGGGGCAAGCGUUGCUCGGAAUUACUGGGCGUAAAGGGUGCGCAGGCGGUCUCGUAAGCUGGGUGUGAAAGCCCCGGGCUUAACCUGGGAAUGGCAUUCAGGACUGCGAGGCUUUGAGUGCGGCAGAGGGAGGUGGAAUUCCACGUGUAGCAGUGAAAUGCGUAGAGAUGUGGAGGAACACCGAUGGCGAAGGCAGCCUCCUGGGCCAGCACUGACGCUCAUGCACGAAAGCGUGGGGAGCAAACAGG
rnacentral:rRNA from 1 species